UAAACAUUAAAAAGAAACAUUGACUGACUAUGGGUUUGUCCUUUUUGGUCGUUUCAACAUUAAAAACCAUUUACUUGAGUCUUACGAGUCUCAAUGAAUUGACUCAAUAGACGUCCGAUUCAUUGAUUUCAGUCAGUGGCAUUGUUUUUAUCAUCUAAAACCUACAGCGGGUUUAUUUGCUUUUGCGUAACAAUUACCCAAAAUUGAAAGUUAAUAUUAAACUGGCUAUUGCGUCAUAUCAAAAAAGUUUGCGAAUAAGGGAGACCACGCAAAGGGAUGAAUUACAUACAAACAAAAGGUUAUGCUUUUAAUGGCUUUAAAUGUGCAUAUUAAAUUUGUAUUAAUAAAAAACUUGGGCUGACCAGUGAUUACAAUUUUUAUUGCGAUUAACUGCAUGAGAUUAAAUGUGAUUAAUUCCAUCAUCAUGCAACAAAACCAUUAAUAAAUUCAAAAGUACUCCAACAGUUGUAAUGGUCAUACCUAGAGAUGUCCCGAUCGAUAUGCCGAUCGAUCGGGUCCGAUCACGUUAUUUCCAAAGUAUCGUAAUCGGCAAAAAAAUAUCGGCCACGCCUUUUUUUAAAAAUAUAUAUAUAUAUUUUUUAAUUAAAUCGUUUUCUAACUGUAUUUAACGUUACAGACAUAAUAUGUUACACUCAUCCAGACUCUUUAGUUUAGGCUUAAGGUAGGGUUAUCAAAUUCAUCCCGAUAACGACAGUCAUUAAUUUUUUAAAAAAUGUAUCACGUUAAAAUAUUUGAUGCAAUUAAUGCAUGCGCUGCACGACCCACUCACGUAUUGUCGCGCUCAAUCUGUAAUGGCGCCGUUUUACCUAUAUAGAGAGAUAAAAGGCAGUGUAAAAUGAGUAGAGUGAAUUUUGGCAGCCUUUGGAGCCUUUUUCGCUAAAUUGGCUAAAGCCUUACAAUCCCUCUCCCUACAAUUAGAAAUAUCAUGGGAAGCAAUGUGGGGAAGCAAGGUAGCAAUUGAUCUUUUUCUUAACACCUUAUGUUAUUUCCCAACGCAGAGAAGAUAUAUCAAUUGGUAGCACUACGCACAGUCAUGGUUCCACUUCCCAUCAUGCAUUUGGGCAUGGCUACAGUAUCAUUUACUGAAAACUAAACAAAUACACUAGAUGGCAAUAUUUAGUCACAAUAUACAAAGUCAAAAGUCUUUCUAUCCGUGGAUCCCUCUCACAGAACGAAUGUUAAUAAUGUAAAUGCCAUCUUGAGGAUUUAUUUUAAAAAAACAUGAUUGGAACAACCCUACUAAUUAUAGCAAGGUAGCAUAUAGUAUAUUAGUGUAUAUGGUGGUUGUACAAAUAUAUAAAUAAAUAAUAAACAAAAAAUAGAGUAAAGUUGUUGUUUUUUUUACUGCAUUUGUUUAUUUAAUACAAAUUUUAAAGAAAUGAAAUGCAAAAGAAACAAAGUUUUUUAUCAAGAAGUUAAAAAAUGAGGAUUUGGACAAUUUUUAGUACUCUAAAUCAAAGACGAUUUGGCUAACAGAUGGACAAGCAUCGUUGAAAGUUGACUUUAGCUUGAGCUAUGCUAGCUUGUUCUGUAGUGAUUAAUAUUUAAAAAGAAAAACGGGUACACACAAACAUUCAUCUCAGUAGUUAACAACAUAUUGAGUAAGGGGCUGCAUAAUACAGGUAGUCCCCGGGUUACGACGUACUCGACUUCGGUGAUUUUGACUUUACGAUGCUGGAGUCUCGUCCGCUAUUUUGUCGUUUUUUUUUUUCCAAUCACGUAAACAGUACCUUGUUGUACCUCACAUUAUCUUUUUUUUUUUUUUUUACUUAAUUUUAUUAAUAUGAUGUUUUCUGUCCUCACUAAAUGUGAAGUUGUUCAGCUUGACAGACAGCAAACAAGGUAACUGUGGUUUUUGAAGCUUUUUACUUCUUUCACUUUUGACAUUUUGUAAAGCUGUAACAGUCCGCUAUCUUAAAUGCUUUAAAUGCUAACGUAUUUACAAUUCUUAUAGCAAAUCGCUCACACAUAACUCCACAAACUAUAGCUCUAACCUUAAUUACAAAUGUAUACACAAACAUAUAUUAGCUAAAACAACUUACAGCUUUAUGUGGGCCAAACCAGAGCGCAGCUGUUUUUUAUCCAUGUCAGACGAGUCUGCUACUCAGCUCAGUCAUACAAGCUGACAGACCAACCAGACCCAAUGCUGCCACCAGAGGGCAUUGUAUCCUCCGUCAUAAAAACAAAAUACAAAAUUUAUGGACUUUUUGGAUAGCAAUUUUGAGAUUUAGGGUUACUUAAAGGGUCAAUUCCGAUUUACUCGGAAAUUGGGAUUACCGUGAUUUCCUGAAUAUAAGGCGCACCCGUGUAUAACGCGCACCCCAAAUUUACUUGUAAAAUCUAGGGGAAAUUAUUGUACCUGUGCUUAACGCGCUCCCUAAUUUUAGCACCAAUAAAUAGAAGAAUACAAGAAAACAGAGCUCAUGUACAGACACAGAAAUGUCAUUUUACUGACUGGUGAAACACAGCACAAGCAUAGCACAUUGGUAGUUCAAAACAUUACCGUAAACUGACAAUAUGUACGAUAAUAAUAAGCUGAUAACUUCUUGAACUUACCAGAAUCCAGGAGAAAACAAAACAGAUGUGACUUUUCUUUUAAAGGCUGCUGUAUAACUUGCUCGUUUCAACAUGAUGAAUAAAUGUUUCCUCCAUGGAUUGAUACGGUAAAAUGAAAGUGAGAACGUAAGUCGGAAAUCCGAGAGAGCUCAUCGCUGUCGACACGACAGUAACAGUAGGAACUAUUUUUAUUUGGGUUUAAGUUUCCCGAGGGACAGAUAUAGUUGACGGACACAGGAAGUCUGUGUUGUGUUACGUUUUUUAUGGUCUGAGUUGCGGAGCUGCAAUAAACGUUGACUCAAAUGAGUUCAAGAAAUUAAAUUCUGUGCUUUAUGAAGAGUGAAAAAAGCAGAAUUUAACACGGACGAAAUUAUUCGGCCGAUCAGAGUGAAGUAUUACCGAAAAAAAAAAAGUUAAUGUCACGUGCCGUAAUGGUCGGCAACGGAUCGCUGCAUACGUUUCUUCAACACAACAUGGCUGUGUCAAUAAAAAAAAUAGUUUUAUAUAUAUAUAUUUAAAAAUAUAUUUGUGUCGCCAUCCAUGUACCCGUGUAUAAUGCGCACCAUGAUUUUACAAGUUGAUCUUGGGGGAAAAAAGUGCGCGUUAUAUUCAGGAAAUUACGGUAUGCUGCCAGCGUAGGAACGGAACUUGUUCAUUACCCGGCGACUACCUGUACUGUGCCGCGAUUGGCCCACUGGCUGUAAGUUUAAGAUGUGAAAUGUGUUGGGUCCCCAUGGCAACUAAAGUAACCUCCCUGAAGAUGGAUUGUAGACAACAAAAGAAUGAGUAGACCCAGGGUAAAAAAAAUCUCAAGAAGCCAUCCCUGAGGGCACACAAAAGUUUGCUCCAUUUUGAGAUCAUUUACAGGUCAAUUUGUCCAAUUUCCAGGGGUCCUUUGUCCAAAAGUCAUCCCUUCAUUGCGUAAUGCUGUGUUUUUGGCUUUGUGUACUCUUGUGUAAGAAAGUAAUUUCCCCCAAAACAUGCCAAAUUCAUUUUAAAUCGGCUGGCACACCCCGAAAGGAAGAUAUUGGGGACGAAGUUGCAUAUAAAGCAGCGAAGAGGAGAAACUCCACAUCCUAAACAAGAUGAAGACCGUCCAGAUUGCUCUUCUCGUCUUUGUGCUCAUCAGCCAGGGUGAGGCCCUGGUGUGUAACUGCGGAGGAAUACAUAGUACAUGUAUAUCUACUGAGACCUGCUCAGGUUUCAACGAUGUCUGUGCGACUUACCACAUGCCUUACACCUCUCUGGAAACCUAUAAAGGCUGCGCAUCAUGGAGUGAUUGCUUUUUGAAGUCCAGCUCCGAGUCAGCUACCUGUUGCUCGUCUAGCUGGUGCAACUGAUACGAGUUCCUGUUCAUGAAUGGCAUGGAUUUACUUUACAAAUAAAUGAGUGGAGAAAAAAGUACUGUAAAGUUUUCAUUCAUUCAUCUUUCUGAACCGCUUAUCCUCACGCAGGUGCUGGAGCCGAUCCCGGCUAACAAUGAGUAGGCAUGGGGUUGCCAAGGAUGUAGGAUGUAGGUAACGCGUUACUACUGUCAGUAAUCUGUCAGUCAAUCUUGUCAGUAAUCUGUCAGUUACUGGCCAGUAAUCUGAUUAAAGUUAGUUUCCUCGGUGCCUGUGCGUUACUAUUUUGUUGUUGCCUCAUACUGUAUGUAGAAUGAAGAAUAUUGUUGUCAUGUACGCUGAGCAUUUGAAAAGAAAAUACUGCGCUUGAGUUUGGGAGUGACAUCACAUCUCACGUUUUGUCAUCGGGGGGUAAAAAACGGGUCACGUGUAAAACCAUGUUGCCUGUGCGCGCGCCGUCUGCCACGGCGGUCAACAACAUAGCCUGCUAGCUAUCAGGAUGCUAACAGUAAAGGAGCAGGAGAGAUACAACAAACGGCUGCAUUUGCUCACUGGAGAUACAGCCAUUACUUCACAUAUCCGUCCAGUAAAGAUGACAAAAAUAUCGCCGUGCGUUGCAAACUCUGUGCUGGCUCAGAAAGACUGUCGACCGCUAUAUACUCGACAUCCAAUUCAACAAGGAAGCACUUGGAAUUACAGCACUACAUGUCGCGAAAAAAAAAAGCCGACAGGUAACGAGACAGCCAGCUCUUCUACAGGUUGUAACCAGCCUUUAUAAUAUGUGUAAUUAUGUACAUUUUUAUAGUUAGAGUUUGUAAUUAUAGGCGGAGUUUUACAUUUGUGGGACUGGGGGGAGAAGCAUGUUGAAGACUGAAACGAAAGUCAGAAGUUUGGACACACAUUUUGCGUUUGAAGACAUCAAAACUAUGAACGAACAUGUGGAAGGGCAAAAAAUGUGAAAUAAUUGAAAACAGGUUUUGUUUUCUACAUUCUUUAAAGUAUCCACCUUUGAGGUGUCUCCAAACUUUUGGCCAAUGCUGUAUGUAUGUAUAUAUAUAUAUAUAUAUAUAUAUUAGGGCUGUCAAAAUUAUUGCGUUAACGCGCGGUAAUACAUUUUUUAAAUUAAUCACGUUAAAAUAUUUGACGCAAUUAACGCACAUGUCCCGCUCAGACAGCAUUCUGCCUUUUGCUAAGUUUUACAGCAAGGCUGUAAAAAAAAACAAAAAAACAACAACAGCGAACUCUUGUGGUCGCUUUGCGACAUGGUUUAUUUUUUUCUUGCCAGUUCAUAUGGCUGCACGACGUCUCGGGCUGAAGCCUACGUUGUAAUGUUAUGCUUAUAUGAUCCUUGGACAAGAUUUGUCCGUAAGUAUGGUUGUUGUAAAGAAUGUACAUAUUAUGUUAGUAAACGAAAUGUUCUAUUUUUUGUAUGAGACUCUACAAAACAGUAAAAGCGCAAACUAUGUGGCGAAUCAAUCAUUCGAACACUUUCAUUAAAAAUGGACUGCACAUCUAUCACCGUUAUUUGCAAUUAAAGAGAUAUUAGUAAAGUAAAAAGUAACCGGUAUAAAAGUAUUUUAUUUGUUUGUCUUUGCCCAGUGUGUUUGUUUGCUAUUGAGCAAGACUUUCCUGCACUACAUGCAAAGUUAAUAUUAAACUCGAUUUGGCCGAGACGCCAGCCCGGGAUAAAUCAAGCCACUUUCACACAUACAACCAGGUUUAUUCCCGGGACAAUUCCCCAUGUGGUAAAGCCAUGACACGGCUAAAUACUGCGUCACCUUAAAAGGGAAUUUACCAGGAUAUAAGUGAAAGGGGCUUCAGGCAACUUUUUUUACAUACAGUUUGAAACGUCCAGGUGGCUAUAAUUAAUUGAAAAUAAUGUACUGUUUUCUGCUGAGUGUGUAUAGUCACCAAGUUGGCAUUGUCCUGGUAGAUGCUACAAUAUGUGCUCAACUGGCAAAGUUCAAUUGGAAUAGUUGGAAACCUUUAUUUAUUUAUUUUUCAAUUUUCCAGACGAAAACAUUUUUAGAAAAUGUCGACGACACGAAACUACACGAAAUUAGUCUUGAGUUUUCGUCAAGAAAAACAAAACAAAGACAAACACAAAUUGAGAUCACAAAAAUAUGACUAAUACUAAUCAGUGUUAUUGUCCAAAAGACUAAGGGCUGCCAAAAAAACAACACUGUUCAAAACCUGUGCCAUUGAUCGUCAAAAUCUUAAUUUUUUAUUCUUUAUCCAUCAAGGUAAACAAUUGAUGACAUACAUCAAAAGUUGCAAAAAUCAGUCCCGCAGCAGGAACGUCUAGACCCAUCAGUUACCCGGCAAUACGCCGGUGCAACGCAGCCUUUAAAUGUGACGCCACUUUUGGGGGAAACAAAACCUA